AACAUUGUUCUGACCUCUGUGAAGUAGUUUGGUUUUUUAACAUAAUUGUGCGCAACACUGUCCUCUUUUGGCUAACCUGCAGCAGUACCUCUAGGUUAAGUUUCACUUUCAGUUAGUUGAGUGUGCCUCAGAGCAGAGUGCUGGUGGUGUUUUCUCCUGCUGCAAUUUCUUCUUUUUACAUUGUUGCCUUGGAUAUUAUUUGUCCUUUUACAGUACAAUAAGAAAAGUAAAGUUUCUUCGUGGAAUGCAAUAAAAGUUAUGCCUUGUGUU